GAGGGCGGGACCGUCCUUGUCACGUGGCCUGAGCUGUGGCCCAGCAGGCUGAGAACGGGCCAGGUGGAGCGACAGAGUCCCACGGUUCUCCACGGAGCCGCGGCCCGCAGGGACGUCUUCCUCGGCCUCUGUCCUUACACUGACUGGUCACACUAGCCUGGGCCCCAGCCCGGCAUCAUGCAGCACUCGCCCUCAGGGGAGGAGCAGUGCUUCAGUGUUCGGGAAGUAACCUGCACUGGCUCGAUCCAUCUCCACGGCUACUUUUGUUUGACCAGGAUACUGUCUGCCUCCAGAUCCUGACCAUAUCGGUACCUGAUUUGCCGAGCGCCUGACGUUUGUGACAGUCACACAUUGCUGGUUGGCACAUUUAGGCUCUUCAUUCCUAAAAUACCAACUUCCACAAUGAGGAGCCCUACGUGAGCUGUUGGAUUAUGCUGGCUACCAUACGGGACUGUCGGCUGGUCAUACGGGGAGAGUCCUCCCGUGGGAGUCGAACACUGGCUUUCUCAGGUUGGCUUCUCCCACUUAGCGACAUGCAUUUAAGGUUCCUGCGUGUAGGUGUCAGGGCCUGAUAGCGCAUUUCUGGUUAUUGCUGAACAAUAUCCCGUUGCACGAAUGUUCCCCAAUUUCCCCAUUUUCCUGUCUCGGUUGUUCCCGUGUUUUGAAUAAAGCUGCUGUUAACACGCAUGUGCAGGUUUCUGUGUGGACGUCAGUUUUAAACUCAUUUAGCAAAUAGCAAAAACGCACAGUAGCCGCAUCAUAUGGUAAUAGAAUAUUUACAUUCGUAAGAAAUGCCAAACUGUCUUCUCAAGUUACUGAACCAUUUUGAGCUCCCACAAACAAGACACGAGAAUUCCUGCUUCUCUUUGCUGGUAUUCAGCGUCAUCGGUAUUCUGGAUUCUAGCCUUUCUAAUAGGUAUCUCACUGUUUUACUGUGAGAAAACCUCAGAAACGGUUAUUGGAAGAUGGGAUUAAAGUACAAGUUUC